UGCAGUCGAGCGCGGGAAGCAAGCAGAUCUCCUUCGGGAGUGACGCUUGUGGAACGAGCGGCGGACGGGUGAGUAACACGUGGGCAACCUACCUGUAAGACUGGGAUAACUCCGGGAAACCGGGGCUAAUACCGGAUGAAACAAAGCGUCGCAUGACGCAAUGUUAAAAGGCGGCAUAUGCUGUCACUUACAGAUGGGCCCGCGGCGCAUUAGCUAGUUGGUGAGGUAAAGGCUCACCAAGGCAACGAUGCGUAGCCGACCUGAGAGGGUGAUCGGCCACACUGGGACUGAGACACGGCCCAGACUCCUACGGGAGGCAGCAGUAGGGAAUCUUCCGCAAUGGACGAAAGUCUGACGGAGCAACGCCGCGUGAGUGAUGAAGGUUUUCGGAUCGUAAAACUCUGUUGUUAGGGAAGAACAAGUGCCAUUCGAAUAGGUUGGCACCUUGACGGUACCUAACCAGAAAGCCCCGGCUAACUACGUGCCAGCAGCCGCGGUAAUACGUAGGGGGCAAGCGUUGUCCGGAAUUAUUGGGCGUAAAGCGCGCGCAGGCGGUCCUUUAAGUCUGAUGUGAAAGCCCACGGCUUAACCGUGGAGGGCCAUUGGAAACUGGAGGACUUGAGUACAGAAGAGGAGAGUGGAAUUCCACGUGUAGCGGUGAAAUGCGUAGAGAUGUGGAGGAACACCAGUGGCGAAGGCGACUCUCUGGUCUGUAACU
rnacentral:rRNA from 1 species